ACGCUGGCGGCAGGCCUAACCAUGCAAGUCGAGCGGAUGAAGGGAGCUUGCUCUCUGAUUCAGCGGCGGACGGGUGAGUAAUGCCUAGGAAUCUGCCUGGUAGUGGGGGACAACGUUUCGAAAGGAACGCUAAUACCGCAUACGUCCUACGGGAGAAAGCAGGGGACCUUCGGGCCUUGCGCUAUCAGAUGAGCCUAGGUCGGAUUAGCUAGUUGGUGAGGUAAUGGCUCACCAAGGCGACGAUCCGUAACUGGUCUGAGAGGAUGAUCAGUCACACUGGAACUGAGACACGGUCCAGACUCCUACGGGAGGCAGCAGUGGGGAAUAUUGGACAAUGGGCGAAAGCCUGAUCCAGCCAUGCCGCGUGUGUGAAGAAGGUCUUCGGAUUGUAAAGCACUUUAAGUUGGGAGGAAGGG
rnacentral:rRNA from 2 species